rnacentral:lncRNA from 1 species
CCGCCGUCGCCGCCCGCGGCGCACCCAGGACCUUCUUCCCCCAACAGAGGUCCCAAAGCGAAAAACAGACCUAUUUGGAAGUAAGGAGGGAGAUGCAUUUAGAAGAUACUACCAGAUUCUGUCCCAAAGAAGAAAGAGAAAGUGAACAAACAUCUUUCAGCGAUCAAAAUCCCAGGCAAGACCAGAAGGGGGGCUUUCGCAGCUCCUUCCGCAAGCUCUUUAAAAAGAAAAAUGGGAACGCAACUGGUGAAGAUUUCUGUGGUCCUUGGGGCUGGUGGUGACAUCAAAGCUUUCCUAUUUUCAGGUAAACACUAAACAGUUGCAUGUUGGAACCAUCAAAGUGUGACAUGUUGGGUUUUGGAUAGACCAGAUGUAGCUAAGAGGGGAAAUACGAGGCAAAGAUUUCAAGUUUUGAGUAAUGACUUUCUGAUGAGAAACUGUCCUGUGGGGGAACAAGAAGAAAUAGCAGCCCAAUUCAAAUCCUGCCCCCGACCUCCUGCCCCUAAAACAUAGGCAUUCCUAGUCUUCUGAAUAAUGGAAGACAUAGAGAAAGAAUGAGAUGGUCAAAAAUAUAUCUUCCUAAAUUUGGGGCACAACUGCAGUAAUCAGGGAUGAUUUGAACUGGAGGUAAGGGGGAUCUGUGAAAGACGAGAGAAGGCCCGGAGUUUUAGGGUGGGCCAUGUGGAGGCUCUUUCAAGGGAGAACUCGGGGGGUUCCUGAAAAGGAAGAGAACCUCAUCCCACCCAGAUAUCUUGCUUGAUGAGUAUCCAGAUGUACUGGAGUUGAGAGAUAGAGUAGUUUUUCCUCUCUGCACUGGGAUGUAGUGGAAAAGUGUUCCUUACCAACCAGAAGUAGAAAGCAUGGUGGGUGGCUAUGGCUUCAUCUGUGAUAUUGAAUAUCAGAG